UUUCCUACGGGAGGCAGCAGUGGGGAAUAUUGCACAAUGGGGGAAACCCUGAUGCAGCGACGCCGCGUGAGUGAAGAAGUAUUUUGGUAUGUAAAGCUCUAUCAGCAGGGAAGAAAAUGACGGUACCUGACUAAGAAGCCCCGGCUAACUAUGUGCCAGCAGCCGCGGUAAUACAUAGGGGGCAAGCGUUAUCCGGAAUUAUUGGGUGUAAAGGGUGCGUAGACGGAGGAACAAGUUGGUUGUGAAAUCCCUCGGCUCAACUGAGGAACUGCAACCAAAACUAUUCUCCUUGAGUGUCGGAGAGG
rnacentral:rRNA from 1 species